rnacentral:rRNA from 1 species
UACAGAGGCCUCGAGCGUUAGGCGGAAUCACUGGGCUUAAAGCGCGUGUAGGCGGGUCGUUAAGUACCUUGUGAAAUCCCACGGCUCAACCGUGGAACUGCUGGGUAUACUGGCGAUCUUGGGCCAUCUAGGGGUUGCCGGAACAAGCGGUGGAGCGGUGAAAUGCGUAGAUAUCGCUUGGAACGCCAAAGGUGAAGACAGGCAACUGGAGAUGUGCCGACGCUGAGACGCGAAAGCCAGGGGAGCGAACGGG